GGAUUCUGUCCCGCAGGCUCUCCGAGAAGUGGUGCCACCGAUCUUCCUGUGUGCCUAGUCCUGCCGGUGCUGCAACUUUGGAGACUUCGAUCAAUACACGAGAUGAUGAACAUUAGCUGCACGCCCCUAAGGAAUUAAUGGACUUAGCUGUUCUCUAUAUGGAGUCACAUAGAGAACGUCUGUGUCAACUAGCAGCUCUGCACCUUGGACCCCAUAGGAGAUGAAGCACUCUCUCCCCUGCAAAAUGUUCUUGCCUCCAAAUCAAACUGGAAUCCUGCCAAGCCUUUAUGUUUCCCACCAGCUUACAGGGAGGAGAAAGACUGAGAACAGGAUCUUGGAAAACAGCAAUAUUUAACCAUCAAGGAGGCUGCAAAGACAAGUCUACGAAGAAGACUAAGAGCAAACUCUCAAAGAGGAGGAGGAUGUGAAGUGCAAGGGUGAGAAUAAGAAGGCCUUAACUGUGGCUCAUGCCUGUAAUCCCAGCACUGUGGGAGGCCUAGGCGGGUGGAUUGCCUGAGCUCAGGAGUUCAAGACCAGGGUGAGCCAGAGCGAGACCCCCCCUCUCUAAAACAAAGCUGGCAUUGUAGUGGGGGCCUGUAAUACCAGCUACCUGGGAGGCUGAGGCAAGAGAAUC